GAUGAACGCUGGCGGCGUGCCUAAUACAUGCAAGUCGAACGCACAGCGAAAGGUGCUUGCACCUUUCAAGUGAGUGGCGAACGGGUGAGUAACACGUGGAUAACCUACCUCAAGGUUGGGGAUAACAUUUGGAAACAGAUGCUAAUACCGAAUAAAACUUCGUAUCGCAUGAUACAAGGUUAAAAGGCGCUACGGCGUCACCUAGAGAUGGAUCCGCGGUGCAUUAGUUAGUUGGUGGGGUAAAGGCCUACCAAGACAAUGAUGCAUAGCCGAGUUGAGAGACUGAUCGGCCACAUUGGGACUGAGACACGGCCCAAACUCCUACGGGAGGCUGCAGUAGGGAAUCUUCCACAAUGGGCGAAAGCCUGAUGGAGCAACGCCGCGUGUGUGAUGAAGGCUUUCGGGUCGUAAAGCACUGUUGUAUGGGAAGAACAGCUAGAGUAGGGAAUGACUUUAGUUUGACGGUACCAUACCAGAAAGGGACGGCUAAAUACGUGCCAGCAGCCGCGGUAAUACGUAUGUCCCGAGCGUUAUCCGGAUUUAUUGGGCGUAAAGCGAGCGCAGACGGUUGAUUAAGUCUGAUGUGAAAGCCCGGAGCUCAACUCCGGAAAGGCAUUGGAAACUGGUCAACUUGAGUGCAGUAGAGGUAAGUGGAACUCCAUGUGUAGCGGUGGAAUGCGUAGAUAUAUGGAAGAACACCAGCGGCGAAGGCGGCUUACUGGACUGUAACUGACGUUGAGGCUCGAAAGUGUGGGUAGCAAACAGGAUUAGAUACCCUGGUAGUCCACACCGUAAACGAUGAACACU
rnacentral:rRNA from 1 species